rnacentral:sRNA from 1 species
CCAUCGGGGAUACAAAAUCACACACAAACCGUCACGGCGAAAUGGGUGCCCAUACCAGUAUUGACUGGGGGUUUUUUGUCGGGGUUUGUGGAGGACUAAC